CUUAUCUCGCGUUAAAGCCAAAAGUGAUAAGCAGUCUGUACUGUUAGAGGAGCUGAGGCGGAAUAGGAACAGUAGAUCAUACGGGAUUCUACUUACAAAUGAGUUUAAAUAAAGGCAGGUCUGCAAUACUCAAAAUAUUAUGCAGAUGGAGAUGUGCUAUUGCAUCGUUUUUGUAUAUAAAUGUUUGAUUAAAAAGCAAUACUGGCAGAAAAGGUAACAAUGCCUUUGCUGGAAAUAAGAGAAAGAAUAUAACAAGAACUCUCAAGGACAAUAGUAGACUUUUGAUGUAAUUUAAGGGGACAACAUGCAUCAUCUUUCAUGACCUGAAACCAUCUUGCAGUUAACAUUCAUAGCAAGUUGAAUUAAUCUUGGAAGUUGUUCGAGUGAGCUUCAGCUGGUCCGACCCUGAUUUCUUUUCCAACUUUUUUAUUAACUAUCCAGAAGCGGACAGAUGGUGUGCACUUUCUCGGAUGAUCUUGAGCGAAUGGUUUCCUUUUACUUCUUUCUUUACAAACAAAUUAAAGAUCACUGUGUAUUCUAAGAGAGCAAAUGAACAGUACUGUAUAUCUCUUUUCUUCUUUUUCUUUUUAAUGUGAAAAUUUAUGUUUGUCGGGUGAAUUCAGUGUAAUAGAUAUUUUACUCUUAGUAGAUCAAGGGUUUAUAGUUUAUACAUUCCCAUUAAUAGCAGCCAGAACUGAAUGAAGGUAAUAAAGGAGCUAGAACAUCCUAUAUACUCGAAUAUUCAUAACUUGAGCCAGUUGCUGAGAUUUUUAUAUUAAACAACAUUUUCUUGUAUUUUUGUGAUAAGUAUCUUCUCAUUAAAAGUUCUGAAAGUGGUCUAUGUUUCAUUUUUAAUUCAUGAUAGAUGUGAAGCAACAAGCUUACUUUGCAAUUGUUAUGAAACUAUAUGUGGCAAAGGAUCACUGUAACACCAAAUUUUAAGGAAUUUGUAGGAAUUAUCCAGACAUUGACUACGUGGAGAAAAAGAAAAGCAUCAGUUUGACAUUAGGAAGUCAUAUACCAUCUCCAGUUGGAAAAAAAGUAUAUCUGCACAAAAGGAAGGUUAACCUAAAAUUUCUAGUUAAUCCUUAAACAGGGCCAUUACUGCAGGGCUUCAUGCUUCAGUAAUUGUCAGCAAACCUGAAAAUGGAGGGCUUCAAGUCAGAAUAUUCUCAAGUAUGAAGGUUUUCCAAGCUUUGUCUUAUCAAAAUGUACGUGUUAGAGCACAAAGCAUAGAGUCCAUGCAUACUUAAAUGCGGUCCUUUUCUUAAUUAAUGAUGACCCAACUUGUCCAAAAUCCUAGCUACACAACAAUCACUACACUAUUUUAUAUGACAUAUUGAUCAGUAACAAUAAAAUACAUAUACUUUAUGUCUUUUCUAUCUAGGGAUUUUCUUUGUGCCUGAAUCAAAAAUGUUUAGUUUAAAAGAAAUACUGCUUCAUUAGGAACAAAAGUUGAAAGUGGUGUGUCAACCCUAUCCACUGGCUCUAAUCAGGUGAAAGAAAAUAUUUUUUGUUCUGACACUUUUAUUUUAGUUCGGAUUACUUGAAUAUUUUUGAUUAUAAAAACUGAUCACAAAUAUCCCUUAGUAACAUGUUAUGAUGUAAUUACUUGGUUUAAGUCUUUAUUUCCAUUUUAUUUUCAUUUAUUUGUCUUUUAGAUAGCAGUUAAAAAAUCCCAGGACAUCUCAUUGAUUCCUAAUAUAUAAUUUCUUAUUACAUACUCUUAGCCUUUAAUUUUCUUGAAGGAAUCUGAUGAGAGUUCUUUAUUGUCUUCAUAACCUUUCAACAUCUCUCAUUACACAUGGCUGCAUAUGACUUAUUUUUAUUCAUUCCUAUUGCCAGAUAUAUUAUACUAUGAACAUGCUUAGAAAAUCAUCUACAAGCCCAAUAUUUCAGGUGAGCUUAUGCAAUCAGUAACUGAAUGGGGUUAGUAAGUUAACAAGUAACAAGAUUUUAUAUUUUUCAGGAAAAUAAAGAGCCAAAAUGAUAGAUACACAGAUCAUUCGUAUUAAGGCCCGGCUUGUUGUGGAAGUCAAUUAUCGAGAAUGUUUGGCAUGCAAUCUUUUUUUUCCAGUUAUUCUGUAUAUUUUGAUAUACUGAUAUAUUUUAUACUACACAUAAUCAUCAUUGAUUUUGGAUAAUUAAUAGAUAACCAAUUUGAUUUCUCCAUUUUUUAUAGAAAAUAAAUAUCCAGGAAUGGAUUAGUGUCUGUAUUCAUCAUAGAGGAUGUCAGACUUCAAAGACUUCAGAAUUCUUUGUUUUGCAAGCAGAUAGUCUCUUGAUGGUAAAUCAGUAGUCAGUUGAUAUGUUUUAUAAAAGAUGAUACUCUGUUGCCAGAAUAACCCUUCAGUAUAAUGACAGAUAGUCAGAAGAGUAUCAGCACCUCCUUGACGAGCCACUCUAGGGGGUAAUGUAAUGGUUUGUGUGUGUGUGACCAACCAGGACAGUAUACAACACUGAGUGUGCUGCUGCAGCCACCAUGCAAAAUAAUGAACAGGAAGCCGGUAAGAAGUUCUACAAUGAAGCCAUAUGCAGAUUCUUCAGAUGAGAGAUCUGCUCACACAAAGUAAACACGGGGAGGAAAUCUUUGGCAAAAUGUUAUGAUGAUCCUCAUUCAGAAUUAAAACUGAAUGGAGACUUUGAUACACAUUGCCUUUUGGUUGUUGAAAAGAAAUAAACACUAUGAUUAAUUCUAUAACCCACUGACACCACCGGGAGUAAAAGUUUAGGGUAAGGUCGCAAAUUAAGGUGCAUAUUUGAGGGGUAUUUUUCUUUAUCAAAAUAUUCACUGUUGUUGGACUCUUCCCAGAUAUGUUUCAUCAUAAAAGUAUCAAGAAAUGGUUGGUCUUUAAUUUGUGUAGAAGUUAUAAACUUAUAUUCAAUGGCUUGUAAGAUAUGGACACUAAUGAAGCAUGCUUUCUAAUUAUGCCAAAAAUCCUUUCAUUUUACAAAUAAAGCUCAUGCAUAUAUUUAAGUAUAUACAAUUUUUUUUGCAAACUCCUUCGAGAUUCUGGAUUGAUAAUCAUAGAUGUGUUAAUUAUAAUCAUGUUGCUACUGUUGACAAAUGUUAAUGAGUUUCCUCCAAAGAUAAAUAAUUUUCUUCCACUUCACCAAAAAAUAACCUAGAAAAAUAUUGAUAUUCCAAUGUUUUUAAUGCAAAAAUAGGCUCUUUUUUAUUGCUGUUUCUUUCUUUUCUUUUAAGGCAAAAUAAUCUCUUAGAUUGCUACAAAUAUUCUGAAACUGGAACUCAUGUGUUUGCUGCUUGAAAGGAGCUUUUGCUAUAUUUGGAGAUGAAAGUUCCUUAGUUUCUGGGUUUACAUAAAAGCUUUUGCUCCUUUCCUUUUGAAAUGAAACUGCAGAUGGGAUAAUUCAGGAGAAUAAGGGGAUUAGUUUCAUCUGGGAUGCUCUAGAUCAGUGGUUCCCAAACUUUCCUAUUCUGUGACCUCCGACCAAUUUAUAAUAAUCUCCAUUGUCCUAUUUAGUGUUUCAUCUUUUCAUAUUCAGUUAUUACUAGAUAUGAAUUGUGUAAUGGUGUCAGUAGCUAUAGGACAAAAACACUACACGAUUCCAAUUUGAUAGUGAGAGAUAAUUAUAUGUAGAUACUGUAGGUGAGUUAAAAUUCACUUUACUUCAAUAUCAUAAUUUUGAUAUUGCUUCAUGACCCUCUAGAAAGUACCGCUUGGCCCCCAGGUUGGGAACCCCUGUUCUAGAUCACCAGUGGCAUCAAUCUCUGUAAUAAUGAAGUGCAGUUUGAAACCACUGCUUAAUCACUUGCAUGUUUAUGUUUUUUUCUUGCUGAAGUUAGUGAUUCAGGUGGUAAAGGAAGUCAGCUAGGGGUGCCUCUGAAGGAAUACUUUCCACUAUUUUUGUUAAGCUCUGUGCUUUUAAAAGAAGUGGGCAACUUUCUUGCAUUAUGUGUCCUUUUUUCAUCCUCCAAUUUUUUUUUUUCAGUUUUUAUUGUUUAUAUGAUUUAGUCACAGGAUGGACUGUAACUGCGUUUGAUUUAUAGUUUACAAGGACUGGUUCCUCAGCUUCAGUUAUCAAGAUUGUGAGUCCAGGGUUUGAACCCAUUACAUGAUAAAUGGAUA